UUUGAGUUAAAAACAAAAAUCGAUGGUAAGUAAAUGAGACCUUUAAGGUACGGAUAUCCAAAUUAUGGAAGGAUCCAUUAUCUGGAAAACCUCAGGUCCCGAGCAUUCUGGAUAACAGGUCCCCUACCGUUACUACUGAUUUGGAUGCCCUGUGGCUGAUAUGUGUUAUUUGUGUCUGUUACUAUCACCUGAUUCUUAUAUUGUGUAUUUUAUUCUACAGCUUCAGCUCUUACCUGUACAUUUUGCAAUCAGCAAGGACCCCCCCCCUGCACUGGCCCGAGCGUUACUGCAGACUGUCCGGCAGGAACCGUUUGUUCCUCAGUGGUAACUUUUAGGUCUUCAGGUCAAGUAAACAGUACGAUUAUGUAUGGAGGAUGUGUUCAGGAACCGAUGUGCAACACGCCUAUUGUGUAUCAGUAUACUACCUACAAAAUAAUAGAAGAGUUCUCCUGUUGUUCCACUAAUGGCUGCUCUCCGCCAGUACUCCCAUUGCCAGACACUAAUACUCAGCCAAAUGGAUUUUGGUGUCCAACCUGCGACUCCUCAAUCUCACCCGACUGCUCUACUGGGGAGACCCUGCUGUGUACAGGGAAUGAGACCUACUGUUACUUGCAAUCGAAAU